UACAGAGGGUGCGAGCGUUGUCCGGAAUCACUGGGCGUAAAGGGCGCGUAGGUGGUGGCUUAAGCGUGCGGUGAAAGCUCGGGGCUCAACUCCGAGUCGGCCGUGCGAACUGGGCUCACUGGAGCAUAGUAGAGGCAGGUGGAAUUCCGGGUGUAGCGGUGGAAUGCGUAGAUAUCAGGAGGAACACCGGUGGCGAAGGCGGAUCUCUGGGCCAUUACUGACGCUGAGGAGCGAAAGCGUGGGGAGCGAACAGG
rnacentral:rRNA from 1 species